rnacentral:rRNA from 1 species
GACGAACGCUGGCGGCGUGCCUAAUACACGCAAGUAGAACGCUGAAGAGAGGAGCUUACUCUUCUUGGAUGAGUUGCGAACGGGUGAGUAACGCGUAGGUAACCUGCCUUGUAGCGGGGGAUAACUAUUGGAAACGAUAGCUAAUACCGCAUAACAAUGGAUGACACAUGUCAUUUAUUUGAAAGGGGCAAUUGCUCCACUACAAGAUGGACCUGCGUUGUAUUAGCUAGUAGGUGAGGUAAUGGCUCACCUAGGCGACGAUACAUAGCCGACCUGAGAGGGUGAUCGGGCACAACGGGACUGAGAAAAGGCCCAGAAUCCUACGGGAGGCAGCAGGAGGGAAUCUUUGGCAAUGGGGGCAACCCUGAACGAGCAACGCCGCGGGAGUGAAGAAGGGUUUCGGAUCGUAAAGAUCUGUUGUAAGUCAAGAACGGGAGUGAGAGGGGAAAGUGCACACUGUGACGGUAGCUUACCAGAAAGGGACGGCUAACUACGUG